rnacentral:rRNA from 1 species
CGUCGAUGAAGAACACAGUGAAAUGUGAUACGUAAUGUGAAUUGCAUAAUUCAGUGAAUCAUCGAAUCUUUGAACGCACCUUGCACCUUUUGGUUAUUCCGAAAGGUACACCUGUUUGAAUGUCACGAAACCCCCCUCGGCUCUAAUGCUUUCUAAAAGGAUUA